UACGGAGGGGGCUAGCGUUGUUCGGAAUUACUGGGCGUAAAGCGCACGUAGGCGGCUUUGUAAGUUAGAGGUGAAAGCCCAGGGCUUAACCCUGGAAUUGCCUUUAAGACUGCAUCGCUCGAAUUGUGGAGAGGUGAGUGGAAUUCCGAGUGUAGAGGUGAAAUUCGUAGAUAUUCGGAAGAACACCAGUGGCGAAGGCGACUGACUGGACAUGUAUUGACGCUGAGGUGCGAAAGCGUGGGGAGCAAACAGG
rnacentral:rRNA from 1 species